GUGUUAGUCUGGGGAUUGAGGUUCGUCAGUCUUCCUCUGAUAUUGUCGCAAAGGCUAGUGACAAAGUUCAGAUUUUCUGCAGUCAUGAUAAAACUGACUACAGGAUGAUGUUCUGGUACCAGCAGUCGCCUGGAGACACGGCUAUGAAACUCAUUGGGUUUUUAAACUAUGUAGCCGUCACACUUGAAGAACAAUAUAGAGAUCUUUUCAGUAUCACUGGAAAUCUUGGGGGCGAUUCUGCAAAGAAUGGCUCACUAACUAUCCAAGUCAAAGGACGAGAGCACAGUGCAGUGUACUACUGUGCAGCAAGCAAAGCACAAUGA